rnacentral:rRNA from 1 species
CUACGGGGGCUGCAGUGAGGAAUAUUGCACAAUGGGGGGAACCCUGAUGCAGCAACGCCGCGUGGAGGAUGACGCAUUUCGGUGUGUAAACUCCUUUUAUAUGUCAAGAAAAUGGCGGUAGCAUAUGAAUAAGCACCGGCUAACUCCGUGCCAGCAGCCGCGGUAAUACGGAGGGUGCAAGCGUUACUCGGAAUCACUGGGCGUAAAGGACGCGUAGGCGGGUUGGAAAGUCAGGUGUGAAAUCCUACAGCUUAACUGUAGAACUGCACUUGAAACUUCUAAUCUAGAGUAUGGGAGGGGGAGAUGGAACUAGUGGUGUAGGGGUAAAAUCCGUAGAUAUCACUAGGAAUACCUAAAGCGAAGGCGAUCUCCUGGAACAUUACUGACGCUAAGGCGUGAAAGCGUGGGGAGCAAACAGGAUUAGAUACCCGAGUAGUC